GGGGCUGUAGUGUAGCUUGGUCGAUGCAGUUUCGUGCUGCGCGGAGCAAUAUCACCCGAGGUUCGGGGCCUCGUAACCUGAGUUCGAAUCUCAGCAGCCCCA
rnacentral:tRNA from 1 species